UAUACGACCGUACCGCAAACCGACACUGGUGCGCGAGAUGAGUAUUCUAAGGCGCUUGAGAGAACUCAGGAGAAGGAACUCGGCAAAUUGACACCGUAACUUCGGAAGAAGGUGUGCCCUAUUAGUGUGUAGUGAACAACGAAGCAUGAAUGGGUUGCAAAAAAUCGGUGGCUGCGACUGUUUAUUAAAAACACAGCACUCUGCAAACACGAAAGUGGACGUAUAGGGUGUGACGCCUGCCCGGUGCUGGAAGAUUAAAUGAUGGGGUGCAAGCUCUUGAUUGAAGUCCCAGUAAACGGCGGCCGUAACGAUAACGGUCCUAAGGUAGCGAAAUUCCUUGUCGGGUAAGUUCCGACCUGCACGAAUGGCGUAAUGAUGGCCACACUGUCUCCUCCUGAGACUCAGCGAAGUUGAAAUGUUUGUGAUGAUGCAAUCUCCCCGCGGAAAGACGGAAAGACCCCAUGAACCUUUACUGUAGCUUUGUAUUGGACUUUGAACAGAUCUGUGUAGGAUAGGUUGGAGGCUUUGAAGCAGGGUCGCUAGAUCUUGUGGAGCCAACGUUGAAAUACCACCCUGGUGUGUUUGAGGUUCUAACCUAGGUCCAUUAUCUGGAUCGGGGACAGUGCAUGGUAGGCAGUUUGACUGGGGCGGUCUCCUCCCAAAGCGUAACGGAGGAGUUCGAAGGUACGCUAGUUACGGUCGGACAUCGUGACGAUAGUGCAAUGGCAUAAGCGUGCUUAACUGCGAGACUGACAAGUCGAGCAGAUGCGAAAGCAGGACAUAGUGAUCCGGUGGUUCUGUAUGGAAGGGCCAUCGCUCAACGGAUAAAAGGUACUCUGGGGAUAACAGGCUGAUACCGCCCAAGAGUUCAUAUCGACGGCGGUGUUUGGCACCUCGAUGUCGGCUCAUCUCAUCCUGGGGCUGUAGCCGGUCCCAAGGGUAUGGCUGUUCGCCAUUUAAAGAGGUACGUGAGCUGGGUUUAAAACGUCGUGAGACAGUUUGGUCCCUAUCUUCCGUGGGCGCUGCAGAUUUGAGGAAGCCUGCUCCUAGUACGAGAGGACCGGAGUGGACACACCUCUGGUGUAUCGGUUGUCACGCCAGUGGCAUUGCCGAGUAGCUAAGUGUGGAAGAGAUAACCGCUGAAAGCAUCUAAGCGGGAAACUCGUUUCAAGAUGAGAUCUGCCGGGGCCUUGAGCCCCCUAAAGAGUCGUUCAAGACCAGGACGUUGAUAGGUCAGGUGUGGAAGCG
rnacentral:rRNA from 1 species